rnacentral:lncRNA from 1 species
AUGCACUUUGGGUCUCAAACUUUAAUUUUUUGAAUUAUUACAAUCAAGUUUGACAACGUAAUUCAGUGAACUAAAUAUUAACAAAUUACUGAUAUAAAAAUACUGUGAAAGCGUUGUGUUUGAUAAUCCAAUAAUAGUUAUGAUGAAUAUCACUUUUUUAUUAAUAAUUUGUCACUAUUUGGACAACUAAAUUGAAUUGUGAAAUUUGAAUGGAACAAUUUAGAAA